rnacentral:misc_RNA from 1 species
GAACGCACCUUGCACCCUUUGGUAUUCCGAAGGGUACACCUGUUUGAGUGUCAUUGUAAUCUCACACCCUCAGACUUUUGUCGAAAGGGAGGUGGACUUGGACGCUGUUGUGUCACUACGACUCGUCUCAAAUGCAUGAGUGUACCCUGCGUCCGCAGCGUAUUCGGUGUGAUAAACAUCUUCACCGGAGUAGUGCCUUUGGGCUCGCGCUGGCAAAUGUUGGGCUCUGCGCUUCAAACCGUCUUUGGACAGCAACUGACAAUUUGACCUCAAAUCGGGUGGGACUACCCGCUGAACUUAAG